rnacentral:rRNA from 1 species
GAGUUUGAUCUUGGCUCAGGAUGAACGCUAGCGGCAGGCCUAAUACAUGCAAGUCGAACGGGAUCAAGUAGCAAUACUUGGUUCAGUGGCGCACGGGUGCGUAACGCGUAUGCAACCUACCUUAAACUGGGGGAUAGCCUUCCGAAAGGGAGAUUAAUACCGCAUAAGAUCACAUGAUGGCAUCUGAGAGUGAUUAAAGAUUUAUUGGUUUAAGAUGGGCAUGCGUGCCAUUAGCUAGUUGGUAGUGUAACGGACUACCAAGGCGACGAUGGCUAGGGGUUCUGAGAGGAUGAUCCCCCACACUGGUACUGAGAUACGGACCAGACUCCUACGGGAGGCAGCAGUAGGGAAUAUUGGGCAAUGGACGAAAGCCUGACGCAGCCAUGCCGCGUGAGUGAAGAAGGUCUUAGGAUUGUAAAGCUCUUUCGCCCGUGACGAUGAUGACGGUAAC